rnacentral:rRNA from 2 species
CCUGGUGGUUAUGGCGGGGCGGCUGCACCCGUUCCCAUUCCGAACACGGCCGUGAAACGCCCCAGCGCCUAUGGUACUUCGUCUUAAGACGCGGGA